rnacentral:rRNA from 1 species
GCUGGCGGCGUGCCUAAUACAUGCAAGUCGUACGCUUCUUUUUCCACCGGAGCUUGCUCCACCGGAAAAAGAAGAGUGGCGAACGGGUGAGUAACACGUGGGUAACCUGCCCAUCAGAAGGGGAUAACACUUGGAAACAGGUGCUAAUACCGUAUAACAAUCGAAACCGCAUGGUUUUGAUUUGAAAGGCGCUUUCGGGUGUCGCUGAUGGAUGGACCCGCGGUGCAUUAGCUAGUUGGUGAGGUAACGGCUCACCAAGGCCACGAUGCAUAGCCGACCUGAGAGGGUGAUCGGCCACAUUGGGACUGAGACACGGCCCAAACUCCUACGGGAGGCAGCAGUAGGGAAUCUUCGGCAAUGGACGAAAGUCUGACCGAGCAACGCCGCGUGAGUGAAGAAGGUUUUCGGAUCGUAAAACUCUGUUGUUAGAGAAGAACAAGGAUGAGAGUAACUGUUCAUCCCUUGACGGUAUCUAACCAGAAAGCCACGGCUAACUACGUGCCAGCAGCCGCGGUAAUACGUAGGUGGCAAGCGUUGUCCGGAUUUAUUGGGCGUAAAGCGAGCGCAGGCGGUUUCUUAAGUCUGAUGUGAAAGCCCCCGGCUCAACCGGGGAGGGUCAUUGGAAACUGGGAGACUUUGAGUGCAGAAGAGGAGAGUGGAAUUCCAUGUGUAGCGGUGAAAUGCGUAGAUAUAUGGAGGAACACCAGUGGCGAAGGCGGCUCUCUGGUCUGUAACUGACGCUGAGGCUCGAAAGCGUGGGGAGCAAACAGGGAUUAGAUACCCUGGUAGUCCACGCCGUAAACGAUGAGUGCUAAGUGUUGGAGGGUUUCCGCCCUUCAGUGCUGCAGCUAACGCAUUAAGCACUCCGCCUGGGGAGUACGACCGCAAGGUUGAAACUCAAAGGAAUUGACGGGGGCCCGCACAAGCGGUGGAGCAUGUGGUUUAAUUCGAAGCAACGCGAAGAACCUUACCAGGUCUUGACAUCCUUUGACCACUCUAGAGAUAGAGCUUCCCCUUCGGGGGCAAAGUGACAGGUGGUGCAUGGUUGUCGUCAGCUCGUGUCGUGAGAUGUUGGGUUAAGUCCCGCAACGAGCGCAACCCUUAUUGUUAGUUGCCAUCAUUUAGUUGGGCACUCUAGCAAGACUGCCGGUGACAAACCGGAGGAAGGUGGGGAUGACGUCAAAUCAUCAUGCCCCUUAUGACCUGGGCUACACACGUGCUACAAUGGGAAGUACAACGAGUCGCGAAGUCGCGAGGCUAAGCUAAUCUCUUAAAGCUUCUCUCAGUUCGGAUUGUAGGCUGCAACUCGCCUACAUGAAGCCGGAAUCGCUAGUAAUCGCGGAUCAGCACGCCGCGGUGAAUACGUUCCCGGGCCUUGUACACACCGCCCGUCACACCACGAGAGUUUGUAACACCCGAAGUCGGUGAGGUAACCUUUUGGAGCCAGCCGCCUAAGGUGGGAUAGAUGAUUGGGG